AACGUAGGGGGCAAGCGUUGCCCGGAUUUACUGGGCGUAAAGCGGGUGUAGGCGGUCCUCUAAGUCAGAUGUGAAAUCCUACGGCUCAACCGUGAAACUGCAUCUGAUACUGGAGGACUUGAGGACGGUAGAGGUCGGUGGAAUCCCCGGUGUACCGGUGAAAUGGGCAGAUAUCGGGGGGAACACCAGUGGCGAAGGCGGCCGACUGGGCCGAUCCUGACGCUGAGACCCGAAAGCUAGGGUAGCGAACCGG
rnacentral:rRNA from 1 species